GAACAAGAAGAUCUUCUCUCUCAGAUCCAACAAACCAGAGGAAGCUCAAACUACAGCCUCUCCACAGAACAAGAGCACAUAUGGAGGUUGGCUGUGGGCAGUGAGGGCGGCUGUAGCUGCAGUACUUCUCACUGUGGUGGCCCUGGUCACACGGUGGAGAGUCAGAGUGAAGUCUGAGGACACCGGAAACGACCCCCCUGU